ensembl:lncRNA
AACCAGGACUAAACCAGGACUAAACCAGGACUGAACCAGGACUAAACCAGAAAUAAACCAGGACUAAACCAGGACUAAACCAGGACUAAACAAGGACUGAACCAGGAAUAAACCAGGACUAAACCAGGACUGAACCAGGACUGAACCGGGACUGAACCAGGACUAAACCAGGACUGAACCGGGACUAAACCAGGACUAAACCAGGACUGAACCAGGACUAAACCAGAAAUAAACCAGGACUAAACCAGGUCUAAACCAGAAAUAAACCAGGACUAAACCAGGACUAAACCAGGACUAAACAAGGACUGAACCAGGACUAAACCAGGACUAAACCAGGACUAAACCAGGACUAAACCAGGACUGAACCAGGACUGAACCAGGACUGAACCAGGACUAAACCAGGACUAAACCAGGACUGAACCAGGACUGAACCAGGACUAAACCAGGACUGAACCAGGUCUAAACCAGGACUAAACCAGGACUAAACCAGGACUGAACCAGGAAUAAACCAGGACUAAACCAGGUCUAAACCAGGACUAAACCGGGACUGAACCGGGA